rnacentral:rRNA from 1 species
UUAGCAUGGAAUAAUAGAAUAGGACGUUGUGGUUCUAUUUUGUUGGUUCAAGGACCACCGUAAUGAUUAAUAGGGAUAGUUGGGGGCAUUAGUAUUCAAUUGUCAGAGGUGAAAUUCUUGGAUUUAUUGAAGACUAACUACUGCGAAAGCAUUUGCCAAGGAUGUUUUCAUUAAUCAAGAACGAAAGUUAGGGGAUCGAAGACGAUCAGAUACCGUCGUAGUCUUAACCAUAAACUAUGCCGACUAGGGAUCGGACGAUGUUAACUUUUCUUGACUCGUUCGGCGCCUUAC